rnacentral:lncRNA from 1 species
UCCAACUCCAAGAUUUAUUAUAGACUUUGUGAUCUCCUAUCACGAGAAGUGAAAUUUAUAGGCUAUUUCAUACAGAAAUCUUCAGAAGAUCUCUUCUCAGGAAAAGUUAGUUCACAUCCCUUUCUUGGAGUCGAUGUUGUACAUCGCCUCGUUGUAGGUUUUGGGAUCAUCUCUAUGCUCUCUAUCUCCCAUGAGAAACUACAUUCUCUAUAUCAUCUAUUAAGGAUACCCAAGUACCUUUCGAGAGGAUUGAAGAUCCUACUAUGUGUAUG